rnacentral:rRNA from 1 species
CUGAGGAAUAAGCCCCGGCUAACUACGUGCCAGCAGCCGCGGUAAUACGUAGGGGGCGAGCGUUACCCGGAAUUACUGGGCGUAAAGGGUGCGUAGGCGGCCGUGUGUGUCUGGCGUUAAAGUCCACGGCUCAACUGUGGGUAUGCGCUGGAAACUGCACGGCUUGGGUGCAGCAGAGGCAGACGGAACUGCUGGUGUAGGGGUGAAAUCCGUAGAUAUCAGCAGGAACGCCGGUGGAGAAGUCGGUCUGCUGGGCUGUAACCGACGCUGAGGCACGAAAGCUAGGGGAGCAAACCGGAU